rnacentral:rRNA from 1 species
AGGGCACCACCAGGAGUGGAGCCCGCGGCUUAAUUUGACUCAACACGGGAAAACUUACCUGGUCCUGACACUAGAAGGAUUGACAGAUUGAUAGCUCUUUCUUGAUUUGGUGGAUGGUGGUGCAUGGCCGUUCUUAGUUGGUGGAGUGAUUUGUCUGGUUAAUUCCGAUAACGAACGAGACUCUAGCCUAUUAAAUAACACACAGAAUCUUGUCUUCUGUGGCGUUUCUUAAUGGGAUCAAGUGUGUUUAACGCUUUGAAACAGAGCAAUAACAGGUCUGUGAUGCCCUUAGAUGUUCGGGGCCGCACGCGCGCUACAUUGAGAGACAAAAUGAGUUUUCUAGCCUUUAAUAAGGCUAGUAAUCUUUGAAUGUUUUUCUUAAUGGGGAUAGGGGAUUGCAAUUGUGCCCCUUGAACGAGGAAUUCCCAGUAAGUGCUAGUCAUUAGCUAGUACUGAUUACGUCCCUGCCCUUUGUACACACCGCCCGUCGCUACUACCGAUUGAAUGGUUUAGUGAGAU